rnacentral:rRNA from 1 species
AUGGGCGCGGGUGCGGAGAGAUCCAGCAACAAAAGAACCAUGGCGGCCGAUCCGACCAGCCGAGACGAUCCCUUGCCGGAGAAGAAGAAGAAGGUGGUGGAUCUGGGGAGCGACAGUGACGAGGACUUGCCUAAUCCGUCACAAUGGGCGGGGGUUAAUCCCGAUUCCUUCGGCGAUGACUACUUGGCCAAGAUGGAAAAGGCUAGACUCGACGAAGAAUCAGCUCCCCGCCCUGUGAAAAUUUCUCCGCUCGACUACUACAAACCUGCCACCAGGUUUCACACCAUCGAGCUUUUCCCCGUCUUUCGAUCCGGAAGCAAGGCUGUGCUCCUCGCUGCGAAAUUUCUUCUAGGGAUUUCAUCCUCUUGCGAUGGUGAACCGCUAAGAAGGUGCUCUGGCUUCUGGGUCGAUUGGGAUGAGGAGAAGAAAACUGGCCUUGUUUUGACAACUGCGCGGCUGAUUCGCACAAAGGAUGCUCCUUACAGUGUCUGGUCAGGCGGUGAAGAGUAUGCUACAGAUGCUGAUGUCACUGUUCAUUUGCUAAAUGGCACCAGUGCAAAGGGCCAGCUGGUCUAUCUCCAGCCCCACUACGAUCUCGCUUUCCUGAGCGUUCAGGUGGAUCAACCAAUCAACUUACCAUCUUUGAAUGAAAAAGAUGUAGAAUUUGCUCAAGAGGUUUUUCGGCUCGGAAGAGACAAUUCCUUAAAUCUAAGGAUAACAUAUGCCAGGGCAGAAUAUUUGAAUCCAACUAUGUUUGAGCGGCACCACAAUGUAUACUUCCGUUCUCCAGAUGGCCAUGGUGAUGAUAAUGAGUUUGACUAUGGGGGGCUAGUUAUUGACCUGCGUGGAGAAGUUGUCGGAAUGGUCAACGUCCCUAAGAGAUUUGGGUCUUUCAUACCUUCUUCCAUUUUGCUCAAUUGUUCGGAUUCAUGGAAGAAAUAUCAGCACAUCGCCCGGCCUCAUCUUGGAAUGAUGUUUAAGGACAUCAAACUUCUAGAACCUGCUCAUGUUGACAUGUUAUGGCGUAUGUUUAACAUUGAUGAUGGUCUUAUUGUUCAAGAGGUGUCGGGAGGGUCGCCUGCUGAGAAAUUUGGAAUCCAAAAAGGUGAUAUUAUCGAAUCUUUCAAUGGAAAGCAUGUUUCUUCCACAAUUGAGUUGGAAAAUACACUGAUGAGCAUAUACAAGGGAACUUUAGAUGCUGAAGUUCGUAUUUCUGUUGGGGUGUUUCACACACUCAAAGAACAAUGGAGCACCAUAGAGUUGACUGCAAAAUUAUCAGAACUUGGAGAAGUUAUUACAAGAGGUGCAAAUCUCCUUUUUUAA